GAAAAGGUAAUAUGAAAACCUUCUUAUAAUUUGAUAUAAGUUAUAACAUAUAAUAACAUAUAAUAAUAUUUUAUUUAAUUAUUUAUUUAACUUUAAUAAUAUUAUAACAAAGCCAUAUGACAUAUGUCUAUCCAAUUAUUCUCUUAAUGGGUAAAUUUCAACUUUAAGGCUUCCAUUUAAAAAGCCAAGUACAAUUUAGCUGUAACG
rnacentral:lncRNA from 1 species